GAGUGACGCAGGAUCAUUG
rnacentral:rRNA from 1 species